GCCUUCGGGCGGUUAUUUUUUGGCGCGGCUGUUCCCGCGGCCUAUUUUUGGCACACGGAGAUGCCUCGCAAGGUCUCGCGCCAUUCCGAGUCCGGCGGACGAAGCUGGCCAGCCCCACCCCCCAAGGCUAUAGCCCACCCGUUUUUGUGGGCUUUUUCCGCUGGACGAACUUGGCGCCCCGGCCUUCGGGCGGUUAUUUUUAUGCGGGGCUGUGCCCGCGGCCUAUUUUAUGCACGCGGAGGCACCUCAUAAAGUGUCACGCCAUUCCGAGUCCGGCGGACGAAGUUGGCCCGCCCCACCCCCCAAGGCUAUAGCCCACCCGUUUUUGUGGCCUUUUUCCGCUGGACGAACUUGGCGCCCCGGCCUUCGGGCGGUUAUUUUUGGGCGCGGCUGUGCCCGCGGCCUAUUUUUGGCACACAGAGGCGCCUCGUAAAGUCUAGCGCCAUUCCGAGUCCGGCGGACGAAGUUGGCCAGCCCCACCCCCCAAGGCUAUAGCCCGCCUGUUUUUGUGGGCUUUUUCCGCUGGACGAACUUGGCGCCCCGGCCUUCGGGCAGUUAUUUUUGGGCACGGCUGUGCCCGCGGCCUAUUUUUGGCACACGGAGGUGCCUCGCAAAGUCUCGCGCCAUUCCGAGUCCGGCGGACGAAGUUGGCCAGCCCCACCCCCCCAGGCUAUAGCCCACCCGUUUUUGUGGCCUUUUUCCGCUGGACGAACUUGGCGCCCCGCCUUUCGGGCGGUUAUUUUUGGACGCGACGGUGCCUGCGGCCUCUUUUUGGCACACGGAGGCACCUCACAAAGUCUCGCGCCAUUCCGAGUCCGGCGGACGAAGUUCGCCAGCACCACCCCCCAAGGCUAUAGCCCGCCCGUUUUUGUGGGCUUUUUCCGCUGGACGAACUUGGCGCCCCGGCUUUCGGGCAGUUAUUUUUGGGCGCGACUGUGUCCGCGGCCUAUUUUUAGUACACGGAGGUGCCUCGCAAAGUCUCGCGCCAUUCCGAGUCCGGCGGACGAAGUUGGCCGGCCCCACCCCCCCAGGCUAUAGCCCACCCUUUUUUGUGGCCUUUUUCCGCUGGACGAACUUGGCGCCCCGGCUUUCGGGCGGUUAUUUUUGGGCGCGACUGUGCCCGCGGCCUAUUUUUGGCACACGGAGGCGCCUCACAAAGUCUCGCGCCAUUCCGAGUCCGGCGGACGAAGUUGGCCAGCCCCACCCCCUAAGGCUAUAGCCCGCCCGUUUUUGUGGGCUUUUUCCGCUAGACGAACUUGGCGCCCCGGCCUGCGGGCGGUUGUUUUUGGGCACGGCUGUGCCCGCGGCCUAUUUUUGGCACACAGAGGUGCCUCGCAAAGUCUCGCUCCAUUCCGAGUCCGGCGGUCGAAGUUGGCCAGCCCCACCCCCCAAGGCUAUAGCCAACCCGUUUUUGUGGCCUUUUUCCGCUGGACAAACUUGGCGCCCCGGCUUUCGGGCGGUUAUUUUUGGGCGCGACUUUGCCCGCAGCCUAUUUUUGGCACACGGAGGCACCUCACAAGUCUCGCGCCAUUCCGAGUCCGGCGGACGAAGUUGGCUAGCACCACCCCCAAAGGCUAUAGCCCGCCCGUUUUUGUGGGCUUUUUCCGCUGGACGAACUUGGCGUCCCGGCCUUCGGGCGGUUAUUUUUUGGCGCGGCUGUGCCCGCGGCCUAUUUUUGGCACACGGAGAUGCCUCGCAAGGUCGCGCGCCAUUCCGAGUCCGGCGGACGAAGCUGGCCAGCCCCACCCCCCAAGGCUAUAGCCCACCCGUUUUUGUGGCCUUUUUCCGCUGGACGAACUUGGCGCCCCGGCCUUCGGGCGGUUAUUUUUGGGCACGGCUGUGUCCGCGGCCUAUUUUUGGCACACGGAGGCCGCUCAGAAAGUCUCGCGCCAUUGCGAGUCCGGCGGACGAAGGGGGCCAGCCCAACCCCCCAAGGCUAUAGCCCACCCGUUUUUGUGGCCUUUUUCCGCUGGACGAACUUGGCGCCCCGGCAUUCGGGUGGUUAUUUUUGUCCGCGUUUGUGCCCGCGGCCUAUUUUUGGCACACGGAGAAAGCUCGCAAAAUCUCGCGCCAUUCCGAGUCCGGCGGACGAAGAUGGCCAGGCCCACCCCCCAAGGCUAUAGCCUACUCGUUUUUGUGGCCUUUUUCCGCUGGACGAACUUGGCGCCCCGGCCUUCGGGCGGUUAUUCUUGGGCGCCGCUUUGCCCGCGGCCUGUUUUUGGCACACGGAGGCCCCUCGCAAAGUCUCGCAGCAUUCCGAGUCUGGCAGACGAAGUGGGCCAGCCCCACCCCCCAAGGCUAUAGCCCACCCGUUUUUGUGGCCUUUUUCCGCUGGACGAACUUGGCGCCCCGGCCUUCGCGGGCUUAUUUUUGGGCGCGUCUUUUCCCACGGCCAAUUUUUGGCACACAGAGGCCCCUCGCAAAGUCUCGCGGCAUUCCGAGUCCGGCGGACGAAGUUGGCCAGCCCCACCCCCCAAGGCUAUAGCCCACCCGUUUUUGUGGCCUUUUUCCGCUGGACGAACUCGGCGCCCCGGCCUUCGGGCAGUUAUUUUUGGGCACGGCUGUGCCCGCGGCCUAUUUUUGGCACACGGAGGCACCUCGUAAAGUCUCGAGCCAUUACGAGUCCGGCGGACGAAGUUGGCGAGCCCCACCCCCGAAGGCUAUAGCCCACCCGUUUUUGUGGCCUUUUUCCGCUUGACGAGCUUGGCGACCCGGCCUUCGGGCAGUUAUUUUUGGGCGCGGCUUUGACCGCGGCCUAUUUUUGGCACACGGAGGCCCCUUGCAAAAUCUUGCGGUAUUCCGAGUCCGGCGGACGAAGUUGGCCAGCCCCACCCCCCAAGGCUAUAGCCCACCCGUUUUUGUGGCCUUUUUCCGCUGGACGAACUUGGCGCCCCGGCCUUCGGGUGGUUAUUUUUGGGCGCGGCUUUGACCACACCCUAUUUUUGGCACACGGAGGCCCCUCGUAAAGUCUCGCGCCAUUCCGAGUCUGGCGGACGAAGUGGGCCAUCCCCACCCCCCAAGGCUAUAGCCCACCCGUUUUUGUGGCCUUUUACCGCUGGACGAACUUGGCGCCCCGUUCUACGGGCGGUUAUUUUUGGGCGCGGCUUUGCCCGUGACCUAUUUUUGGCACAGGGAGGCCCCUCGCAAUGUCUCGCUGCAUUCCGAGUACGGCGGACGAAGUUGGCCAGCCCCACCCCCCAAGGCUAUAGCCCACCCGUUUUUGUGGCCUUUUUCCGCUGGACGAACUUGGCGCUCCGUUCUACGGGCGGUUAUUUUUGGGCGCGGCUUUGCCCGCGGCCUAUUUUUGGUACACGGAGGCCCCUCGCAAAGUCUCGCGGCAUUCCGAGUCCGGCGGACGAAGUUGGCCAGCCCCACCCCCCAAGGCUAUAGCCCACCUGUUUUUGUGGCCUUUUUCCGCUGGACGAACUAGGCGCCCCGGCCUUCGGGCGGUUAUUUUUGGGCGCGGCUUUGUCUGCGGCCUAUUUUUGGCACACGGAGGCCCCUCGCAAUGUCUCGCGGCAUUUCGAGUCCGGCGGACGAAGUUGGCCAGCCCCAGCCCCCAAGGCUAUAGCCCACCCGUUUUUGUGGCCUUUUACCGCUGGACGAACUUGGCGCCCCGGCCUUCGGGCAUUUAUUUCUGGGCGCGGCUUUGCCCACGGCCUAUUUUUGGCACACGGAGGCCCCUCACAAAGUCUCGCGGCAUUCCGAGCCCGGCGGACGAAGUGGGCCAUCCCCACCCCCCAAGGCUAUAGCCCACCCGUUUUUGUGGCCUUUUUCCGCUGGACGAACUUGGCGCCCCGGCCUUCGGGCGGUUAUUUUUGGGCGCGGCUUUGCCCGCGGCCUAAUCUUGGCACACGGAGGCCCCUCGCAAAGUCUCGCGGCAUUCCGAGUCCGCCGGACGAAGUUGGCCAGCCCCACCCCCCAAGGCUAUAGCCCACCCGUUUUUGUGGCCUUUUUCCGCUGGACGAACUUGGCGCCCCGGCCUUCGGGCAGUUAUUUUUGGGCGAGGAUUUGCCCGCGGCCUAUUUUUGGUACACGGAGGCCCCUCACAAUGUCUCGCGGCAUUUCGAGUCCGGCGGACGAAGUCGGCCAGCCCCACCCCCCAAGGCUAUAGCCCACCCGUUUUUGAGGCCUUUUACCGCUGGAUGAACUUGGCGCCCCGGCCUUCGGGUGGUUACUUUUGUGCGCAGCUUUGCCCACGGCCUAUUUUUGGCACACGGCGGCCCCUCGUAAAGUCUCGCGGCAUUCCGAUCCCGGCGGACGAAGUGGGCCAGCUCCACCCCCCAAGGCUAUAGCCCACCCGUUUUUGUGGCCUUUUUCCGCUGGACGAAGUUGGCGCCCCGGUCUUCGGGCGGUUAUUUUUGGGCGCGGCUUUGACCGCGGCCUAGUCUUGGCACACGGAGGCCCCUCGCAUAGUCUCGCGGCAUUCCGAGUCCGGCGGACGAAGUGGGCCAGCCCCACCCCCCAAGGCUAUAGCCCACCCGUUUUUGUGGCCUUUUUCCGCUGGUCGAACUUGGCGCCCCGGCCUUCGGGCGGUUAUUUUUGGGCGCGGCUUUGCCCGCGGCCUAUUUUUGGCACACGGAGGCCCAUCGCAAUGUCUCGCGGCAUUUCGAGUCCGGCGGACGAACUUGGCCAGCCCCACCCCCCAAGGCUAUAGCCCACCCGUUUUUGUGGCCUUUUACCGCUGGACGAACUUGGCGCCCCGGCCUUUGGGCGGUUAUUUUUGGGCGCGGCUUUGUCCGCGGUCUAUUUUUGGUGCACGGAGGCCCCUCGCAAAGUCUCGCGCCAUUCCGAGUCCGGUGGACGAUCUUGGCCAGCCCCACCCCCCAAGGCUAUAGCCCACCCGUUUUUGUGGCCUUUUUCUGCUCGACGAACUUGGCGCCCUGGCCUUCGGUCGCUUAUUUUUGGGUGAGCCUGUGCCCGCGGCCUAUUUUUGGCACACGCAGGCCCCUCGCAGGAGUCUCGCGCCAUUCCGAGUCCGGCGGACGAACUUGGCCAGCUCCACCCCCCAAGGCUAUAGCCCACCCGUUUGGCGCCCCGGCCUUUGGUCGCUUAUUUUUGGGCGCGAAAAUGCCCGUGGCCCAUUUUUGGAACACGGA
rnacentral:lncRNA from 1 species